AGUGAACGCUGGCGGUAGGCCUAACACAUGCAAGUCGAACGGCAGCACAGUAAGAGCUUGCUCUUACGGGUGGCGAGUGGCGGACGGGUGAGGAAUACAUCGGAAUCUACUUUUUCGUGGGGGAUAACGUAGGGAAACUUACGCUAAUACCGCAUACGACCUACGGGUGAAAGCAGGGGAUCUUCGGACCUUGCGCGAUUGAAUGAGCCGAUGUCGGAUUAGCUAGUUGGCGGGGUAAAGGCCCACCAAGGCGACGAUCCGUAGCUGGUCUGAGAGGAUGAUCAGCCACACUGGAACUGAGACACGGUCCAGACUCCUACGGGAGGCAGCAGUGGGGAAUAUUGGCCAAAGGGCGCAAGCCUGAUCCAGCCAUACCGCGUGGGUGAAGAAGGCCUUCGGGUUGUAAAGCCCUUUUGUUGGGAAAGAAAAGCAGCAGGUUAAUACCCCGCUGUUCUGACGGUACCCAAAGAAUAAGCACCGGCUAACUUCGUG
rnacentral:rRNA from 1 species